rnacentral:lncRNA from 1 species
GGCUCACAGGCUGGACAGGGCUCCAGCCAGCAGGGGGCGCGCGCGUUCACCUCGGGGCCAGGUUGGCUGAAAGCCCCUCUCCCGUUCCCCUCUUCUAGAGCAAAAGUCUUCCAAAGCCUUGACCUCUUAGACAACGCUACUUUAGUGACCGAAGCACUUUUCCUUUCCCUUUCAUGCGAGUUUUUUGCAACCAUGGGUGGCUAGUAUCAAUGCCUCCACUUUCAAGGUGAGGAGAGGAACUGGGGAGGUUGAGCAUUUGCUGCAAUAUCACCGUGGCCAGCAGCGCAAGAGAGCCAGGGUCCCCAUUUGCCACCCAUGAACCAGUCGGCCUUCCUCGCCCCACGCUGGAGAUAGAGGAGGGAAGAAAGAACUAGCCGAGCAAAACCCCAAAAAAGGAAUCCUUUCUCCCCAGAGAUUAUGAAAUCAAAGAACAUUUUGUUGCUUCUUGGAAAUUCUUCCCCUUACGGAGGCUACACAAUUGAACAGGGUUUUCAUUAUUAUGACUAUGAUUAUUAAAGUUGUUGGUCUAGUUCCCGCCUCCUUCUUUGCAAACUUUCGCACGGACUGAGAAACACAAGCGUUUACCUGGGUGCAUGCUGGGACGGGGCGAGCAGGUAGUGCAGGCUUCCAGGCCUCUCCUGCCCCGGAGCUUGGCUGCAGGACUCCCGCAAAAUCUCCAAAUGCCCCCGAUCUGCGUGGUCACCGAGAAGCAGCCCGGCUCGGAACAAGCCCAGGCAAGCCCAGGCAGAGCCCGCCGCCGGGUCCUCCUUCCUGCUCGUGCCACCAGGCCCCGGGGCCGCGACGCGUCUCUCCAGCCCGGGAUCCGGGGAGCUGGGCUGUCCCCAGACCGACGGGACAGCGGCAUCUCCUCCACCUGAAAAGGAAAGAGGACCAGUUUGCAGGACUCCGAACUGGGCCCGCGAGAUCUCCACCUGCGCAAAACGAAAGGGCGGAUUCUCCUUGGACUCACGAGGCAACCGCUCCCCGGGGUGAGAACGGGGGACUCAUUCCUCCGGCACUGGGAGAAGACGAUUCUUUAGGAGGAGGACAGGGAAGCGAAUGCUACCCAGCAACCACUAGAAUGGAAGCUGCAUGUGGGCAUGGCUUAGUUUUGUCCACUGCUGGAUCUCAGCAUCCAAAACAGUCUACCACCUGAUGUCUCAGUAUACUGGCUCGCGGCACAUCGGGCAAAUGAACCUAUCAGAUAACAACGGCAGAUCAGAUGCCUGAGCAUUCAGAAGCAACAGCUGUGGAGCCCCCGUGGGUUCAGAAGGCCUGGUUCCCGUCUCCAGAAGCCUGGCUCUCCUCCCUCCUGGGCCCACUACUUUGGCUUCUUGUUCCUACGUACAAGGAGUUGCGAAGAAGGCAACUCUUCCCCUCCCUGAAGCCAAAGGAAUGAAACAGACUAGGGCGGGAGAGGUGGCCAUCCGUCAUUAGUUGCGGCCAUCAGUAACAGCAACAGGACACGGAACCUAAGGCUGUAUCCAUCCUGGGCCCCCAGGGAAACAUCAGCGGGAGCGGUACUAAGGAAGUGCUCAUCUCUUAGAGACAAAGGCCCAUGGAGGGGAACAGUAACCAUCCCCUCCCAAUUCAGAAAAUGUUAACAUAAGCACUUCAUUUCUCAUGCAGAUAACCACAUAAGUCUAUUAAUAAGAAAGAAAGAGAAAGAAAAAAAAGAAAAAGGAAUCCAUGCCAGCAGGGUAUAGGAAUUGGUCUAUAGGAGAAAGGGUCACCCACUGAAAGGUGGGCUGAAUAGAAUUCCUUGCCUGGGCUUUGAGGUCCUGGCAUGGAGAAGGCUGUAGAAAUGCUGGCAUCAGUGGAACCCUCAAUAAACAGAAUUCUUGUUAAA